rnacentral:lncRNA from 1 species
ACACGUCAGCUGUCGCUCAGGAUUCGAGGAAGGGAAGGACUGUUCUACACGACGGCGGUUGUCCCUGCUUUUGUAUCCACGUCCGGGGAUCUUCGGUUAAGUCCAUUUUAUUGAAGAAGCCAUCGAUCUAGAACAACCUGGUAGUAUCAGUCCCCUUCGUAAAACCACGGUGUGUUAAGAAUGCACACGUAUCUAAAGAGGGACAGGCAUACUCACACCUGUACAAGUGUCAUGCACAUUUUUUCAAACGCAUGGCCUAGUGCACACGAGCACAUAUAUGCAUACAAACAGUGAAGGAGCUGUAUGUAUCGGCUGUGUUUACUUUGUAAUUUUCGGGCUGCUUGUGUUUUACAGCAGUCCGUAGUUAGCUGGGCAUGUGUUUCAUACCUGUACCUGGGAAGUGCAGGCAGUCAGGAAAAUUGAGUACUAAGCCAGCCCAGUCUAGGUGAAGGAGACGUGUCCUGGAAACAAACAGGACUUAAUUUGUUAAGGCAGGUUCAUGGCCAGGUACUGAAGGAGUCAAAGGGUUAUUCAGCUAGAUACCGUGGACGGAGUGGGCGUGCAUAUCACAUCUGGAACGCUGGCAUUAUUAUUAUUUAGGGCUAUGUAGAACUGUACAUAGCCCUGGUUGUUCAGGAGGGUGCUGUGUAGACCAUAGCAACUUGAACUCAGAUAUCUGACCGUCUCUGCCUUCCCAGUGCUGAAUUAAAGGCCUGCAGUACCACAUGCCAUAGGCUAGCAUUAUUGAGUCAGGUUUUUCUACUGGGAAGUUUUAGGACAAGCUUGUUGGCCGUAGUUGGGAAUCUGCUCACAGAUGGAAAGACAGAGCAGAUUACUCUGCACAUUGUCUGCAUGAGAGAGCAAGGGCCAGGGUCUGGGUCAGCUUUCUGGGGGUGGGAGCUGGACCUGAGGCUGGGAGCAACAUUUUGGGUGAUCUUGGUGUUGCCCGGAGCUGGGAGAAUGAACUGGCAGCUUUGGUUUGGCACCAGCACAGCUACAUCCUCUUCAUGGGCUUGAAAGUUCAUUGCAAAUAGUGGGAGGAGGGGGCAGCCGGUCCCAUAGGAACACCAGAGCAGGCCUCUUCAGCUUUAAAAAUAAAACAAAGCCAUGUUGUCCCCUGACAGCUUUUCAGAGUCACUUCUAUCAUGCGAGUCCCUGGGCUCAAACUCAGGCCAUCACAUCAGUCACUGCAUGUCUUUACCCACUGAAUCCUCUCUGUGGUCCUCUGUGGUUCCUACUGUCAUGGCCCGGCUUUGCAUUUGGUACAGGUGGAGGUCCACCGCCACAUUUAGAGACAAAGCGUGUCUCAGGGUAAGGAAAGGCAGCUAGAGGGGUGUCUUAGGGUCGGGACCAUGCUGGGAGAGCCUACUAGGCCACAGUUCUUUCUUGGACAACCUGCAGAACCUGUGGGUAACAGGGAAGCUCUUUGUUGUUCGUUAGUAGAACAUGCUUUGCUGGUGCCUCUGGGCCUUGAGCUGUGAUAAACACACCUUCUGUUCCCUUGUCUAUCAUACCAGCACCUGCUCACAGGAAGGCCCAUGGUGCUAUGUCUGGUCAGCAUAGGGCUUCUCUCACUGAGGUCCUUGUCAUGAACCAUGCCAGGCCAAAUCUUCACUGAUACCUCAGGGUUUAAGGAUCAAUGAGAACUUGCCGAGGCCAGCAGGCUGGGCUGGGCUACAGGUAGAACGGCUUGGUUCCGUGUGCCUAGACUCUGGAGCACGAAGAGAAAGGAGCAGAACCACCACUUCUGGACUGGUGGUUGUCCUUAAAUGCUCCCAAGGACGUCACGAACUGCACACAGAGAAAGUUCUAGAAGCCAAAAUUGUUCGGGUCACUUCACUAACCAGUUGCUAGAUAGAACACACACAGCUAAACUGGAAUGUCAGAUAAAACGAUGAAUUUUUUUUUAAAGUAUUAUGUCCCAAAUAUUUCAUAAGACAUAUUUCACUAAAACUAACCUGUUUACUGAGAGUCACAUUUAAUGGAAUGUCCAUUAAAUAUUUUUUUAAAUACUACUUUUAAAAAUGAUAUGCUUAUGAGAAUUUUGCCUGUGUAUGUUUGUGUAUGAUGUCCAUGCAGAGGCCAGAAGAGGGUGUCUGAUUCCUUGGAACUGGAGUUAGAGUGCUUGUGGCUGCCAUUAAACUGUUAUUGAACCAGUCUUUUACUGAACAACAAGUCUUCUUAAUUGCUAAGCCAUAUAUAUAUUUUUAAAAAAAUCUUUAUAUACUAUAUAGAUAUGAAGGAUGCUAGCUGGGUAUAUACAGCAAGCAUGGGUGUGUUCAUUUGUCUGAAUUUGCAUGUAGGUGUGACGUGACUUGCCCUCGAAGAUGGACGGUACCCUGGAACUACCAACUGAAAUAAAUCCUUCCUUCCUCCGUU